rnacentral:rRNA from 1 species
CAAGCCCUGGAAACGGGGUCUAAUACCGGAUACGACACAGGGAGGCAUCUCCUCUGUGUGGAAAGCUCCGGCGGUGCAGGAUGAGCCCGCGGCCUAUCAGCUUGUUGGUGAGGUAACGGCUCACCAAGGCGACGACGGGUAGCCGGCCUGAGAGGGCGACCGGCCACACUGGGACUGAGACACGGCCCAGACUCCUACGGGAGGCAGCAGUGGGGAAUAUUGCACAAUGGGCGCAAGCCUGAUGCAGCGACGCCGCGUGAGGGAUGACGGCCUUCGGGUUGUAAACCUCUUUCAGCAGGGAAGAAGCGCAAGUGACGGUACCUGCAGAAGAAGCGCCGGCUAACUACGUGCCAGCAGCCGCGGUAAUACGUAGGGCGCAAGCGUUGUCCGGAAUUAUUUGGCGUAAAGAGCUCGUAGGCGGCUUGUCGCGUCGGUUGUGAAAGCCCGGGGCUUAACUCCGGGUCUGCAGUCGAUACGGGCAGGCUAGAGUUCGGUAGGGGAGAUCGGAAUUCCUGGUG